rnacentral:rRNA from 13 species
UACCCGGAGGAAAGGACAGCAAUAGCGACUCCCCUAGUAGUGGCGAGCGAACGGGGACUAGCCGAGCCGAGAUCGUGACCAGAAUGUGCUGGAAAGCACAGCCAUAGCGGGUGACAGCCCCGUAUGGGAAGCGUGAUCGGACGUAUCAAGUAGGGCGGGACACGUGAAAUCCUGUCUGAAGAUCGGAGGACCACCUUCGAAGGCUAAGUACUCCUUACUGACCGAUAGUGAACCAGUACCGUGAGGGAAAGGUGAAAAGCACCCCGACGAGGGGAGUGAAACAGUACCUG